rnacentral:rRNA from 1 species
CGCUGGCGGCGUGGAUUAGGCAUGCAAGUCGAACGGUAGAUAUCCUUCGGGAUAUGAGAGUGGCGAACGGGUGAGUAACACGUAGAUGAUCUACCCUCAAAUGGGGGACAACCCAGGGAAACUUGGGCUAAUACCGCAUGAGUGCAGCGCAUAAAGCAUCUUUAGGUGGGUGUUUUUAUGCGUUGCAUAAAAGGUGGCCUUCGGGCUGUCGUUUGAGGAUGAGUCUGCGUCCUAUUGGUUAGUUGGUGAGGUAAUGGCUCACCAAGGCGAUGAUAGGUAGGCGGCCUUAACGGGUGGCCGCCCACACUGGGAUUGAGAUACGGCCCAGACUCCUACGGGAGGCAGCAGUGAGGAAUAUUGGUCAAUGGGCGCUAGCCUGAACCAGCCAAGUCGCGUGAAGGAUGAACCAGAUCUAUGGUUUGUAAACUUCUUUUGCAGGGGAGUAAAGUGCGACACGUGUGUUGUAUUGCAAGUACCCUGCGAAUAAGCAUCGGCUAACUCCGUGCCAGCCGCUGC